rnacentral:rRNA from 1 species
CAAAGGUUCCCUCAGCCUGGUUGGUAAUCAGGUGGUGAGUGUAAGUGCACAAGGGGGCUUGACUGUGAGACUGACAGGUCGAGCAGGGACGAAAGUCGGGACUAGUGAUCCGGCACCGGCAUGUGGAAGCGGUGUCGCUCAACGGAUAAAAGGUACCCCGGGGAUAACAGGCUGAUCUUCCCCAAGAGUCCAUAUCGACGGGAUGGUUUGGCACCUCGAUGUCGGCUCGUCGCAUCCUGGGGCUG